GGACAAACUCCUGGUGGAGCAGGGAGGGGACGGCGGGACGGGGAACGACCCUGGCGAGGUGGGGACUCGGAAUUCCCGAAUUUUGGGCACAAAAAUCCCGAAUUUUGGGUAAAAAUAGGGAGAAAAACCUAUAUAUGGGGUUGAAAAUGUCGUUUGUGGGGAUAAAAAUGUCGUGAUUGUGGGGGCUGGACAAACUCCUGGCGGAGCAGGGAGGGGACGGCGGGACGGGGAACGCGCCUGGCGAGGUGGGAACUCGGAAUUCCCGAAUUUUGGGCAAAAAUGGGGAAAAAAAUCUAUAUAUGGGGUUGAAAAUAGCGUUUGUGGGGGUAAAAAUGUCGUGAUUGUGGGGGCUGGACAAACUCCUGGCGGAGCAGGGAGGGGACGGCGGGACGGGGAACGCGUCUGGCGAGGUGAGGACACUCGGAAUUCCCAUUUAUGGGCACAGAAAUCCCGGAUUUUGGGCAAAAAUAGGGAAAAAAAACCGAUAUAUGGGGUUGAAAAUAGCGUUUGUGGGGGUAAAAAUGUCGUGAUUGUGGGGGCUGGACAAACUCCUGGCGGAGCAGGGAGGGGACGGCGGGACGGGGAACGCGCCUGGCGAGGUGAGAACUCGGAAUUCCCGAUAAAGGGAGCGGAAAUCCCGAAUUUUGG